AGGGUAACCUAAACCUUAUUUCUCUUUUGGCCCUUUGACUCAACGUGCAUGAUACGUGCAUCUGAGAGCAAUAAAACCAGAAAAAUAAAGGGGAGGUGAUACCAAACGGAACUCGGAGAUCCAAUUACAAUUUACAAAUCCAAAGAACCUCUCCUUCCAUUCCAUUUUUUUCAUUCUCUCUUUCAAAGGAAUCCAAAAUCCGCCCCAAAAUAUAUCCCCCAUUCUUAUUUUUAUUCCAAUUUUUCAAAUAUCCUCGUUCAAUUUCAUUACUUUUGAGAAGUUCCCAUCAAUAUCCGUUUUUUUUUUUUUUGGUUUUAUGAGAUGAAGUUUUAUGCACAAAUUUCUCUCCACAACAAACCCAUCAUCGUAGCAUAUGGAAGACAAUGAAAACACUGCUCAAAAGAUCAACAUAUCCUCAUCAACUUCCAGGUCUUGUUCAACUGUUGGUACCUUUCAUCUGGUUUGGCAGGAUUACUACAAGAUUUUGGAGGUUGAUUAUGAUGCAACAGAUGAGAAGAUAAGAUUAAAUUACCGAAUGCUUGCACUGAAGUGGCAUCCUGAUAAGCACCUGGGUGAUAGUGUAGUUACCGCCAAAUUUCAAGAUAUCAGUGAAGCUUAUAAAGUGUUGAGUGAUCCAGCUAAACGAUUUGAAUAUGAUUUAACUGGAAUAUAUGAGAUUGAUAAGUAUACCGUGCGGGAAUAUCUCGCCAGAUUUAAAGGAAUGAUACUUACAUGCAAUGGGCUUGGUAUCAGUAAUACAUCAACAUGUGCAGGACCCAGCAACUGACUGAAACCAAAGACUUGGCAGAAAAAUAGGGUGCGAUUCCAGCCUUGAACCUAUGGAUGAAAGCAUGAAUACCAUGGUGUGAAAACAACGUUGGAACAAUCAAGUAAUAUAUAGAUGCAGGUGGAGCUGGUUGCGAUGUUCCAUUACAGAUGAAAAUGUUAACAAUCUAGAAGAUGAGCUCAAUUGGAUUCACAUACACUCUUCUAGUUCAGUCAUGACAGGAAAACUUUGCAUUCUAAGGUCAGAUUGUAUUCAUGGGAGCCCACAGUUCUUAGAUGUAAAAUGACGAAGAUACAAGAUCUUUAGGACCCAUGGGUCAUUCUUAAUAACAAGAUGAUUGUUUUUACCAAUGUUUCACAAAAUAAACCUAACAGCUCUUAUUUUCAAGCUGAGGGUGCAGCAUUGUUUUGGACAGAAAGUGUAUAAAGCUGAUGCAAAUGAGAGUUUUAAGUGUUUCUUUUUA